UCUGCGACGCGCGCGGAGGAAGCCGCGCCUCUUCCUUCCCUAGCUCUCCUGGAGAAGCCUGUGGAGCAAGACUUGGGCGGGUGAGGUUCUGUCCCGAAACUCGGGCAGAACCCCAGGUAUCGCCUCCUUCCUGGCCGCUGACCCGCGCCUUGCAACGCCCGCCCGGGUCAGAGAAGGGCUGUCAGACCCAUUCUUACCCACAGGCCUUGCUCAGAUCUACCACCCAGGACCUCCACUUUGGCGGGAAUCUUACUCGUGACUGGAGACUUUGUGGAAGUGUCAGGGCUGUGGGCCAGGAUGUGAAACAGCCUCAUAAGGCAUUCCUCGCCAUAAGAACAUAUAACUGGAUGGAUAUAAUAUGUUAGAGUCUGAUCCUCCACACCCAGAGCACUCUGCUACCCCUUGACAGGCUAGUCUCAAACGCCUGGCCUCAAGCCAUCCUCCCAGCUUGGCCUUCCAGAGUACUAGGAUUAUAGAGGCCCAGCCAGAAUCCUAACAGGAUGGAAGUGGAGUUUUGAUGCCCCUACAAUAUCUUCAAGAGCUUUUCAGUCCAUGCAUUAAACAAGGAAUUAAACUUAUGAAUCAAUGAAACUUGAUUCAUAAAAUACUUUCCAAGAAAAUUUGCCGAUAUUUCACAAUUUUAUUACAUAUUUGUUGCCAAAUAUCUUUGGUGUCAAACAUCCUUGGAUCAGAUUUAGAACAAAUCUUAUUCCCCUCAAGUUGUAUAAACCAUGAUAUCUCCAAAGUAUCUAUAACAUUAUCAACUAUUUGUCCCUAAAGCAUCUUAUUAUCCCUACACCCACAUGCCUUGGCUCAAACUGACAAGAAAUUACUUCCCCCUAACCACAUCGUCCUAGUAUUAAGAGACAACUUCUCUCUCAGGCUCCCAAAGAACUUUAAAGAAUUCAUUAUUAAAUUUAUCAUCAUACUGCAGUAGUUUUUAUAAUUUAUCAAUCUCUUUUGAUAGAA